AUUGAACGCUGGCGGCAUGCCUUACACAUGCAAGUCGAACGGCAGCACGGGAGCAAUCCUGGUGGCGAGUGGCGAACGGGUGAGUAAUAUAUCGGAACGUGCCCAGUCGUGGGGGAUAACGUAGCGAAAGCUACGCUAAUACCGCAUACGAUCUACGGAUGAAAGCGGGGGAUCGCAAGACCUCGCGCGAUUGGAGCGGCCGAUAUCAGAUUAGGUAGUUGGUGAGGUAAAGGCUCACCAAGCCGACGAUCUGUAGCUGGUCUGAGAGGACGACCAGCCACACUGGGACUGAGACACGGCCCAGACCUCCUACGGGAGGCAGCAGUGGGGAAUUUUGGACAAUGGGCGCAAGCCUGAUCCACGCAAUGCCGCGUGCAGGAUGAAGGCC
rnacentral:rRNA from 1 species